CCUGUACAGCGAGAACCAAUUAGAACGCGGAGUUUUUAGGACUGGCGGGAGUCUCGCCCAAUGGGAGCGCGGCGAGGGUUGGCGGGCGGGCCGGGUUUCACUGAGCGGGAGCGGCGCCGCCAUUUUGGCGCUCGGAAGCGGCGGCGGCGGCGCUCGGGAAGUUUACCACAGAAUUUUCAGGCAGUUUCUCCCAGUCCAUCCCCAGCGCUUCCCCAGCUCCUUCAGCCCCCAGUUCCUCCCAGUCUGACCAGUUGCUGCCCUCACAGGUGCUGCCACCAUGGAGUACGAGCGCAGGGGUGGCCGUGGGGACCGCACCGGGCGUUACGGGGGUGCCCCACCCCUCUCCGAGGACGGCUCCCGCAGCCAGCGCGACCACGACUAUCGCGACAUGGACUAUCGCGGAUACGGGGGACCCCCAGAGGGACCCCCCGCUGCCGGGACCCCCCCUCAGGUGAGCCACAG